rnacentral:rRNA from 1 species
UACGUAGGGGGCUAGCGUUGUCCGGAUUUAUUGGGCGUAAAGAGCGUGUAGGCGGCCAGGUAGGUCUGCUGUGAAAACUCGAGGCUUAACCUCGAGAUGUCGGCGGAAACCAUCUGGCUAGAGUCCGGAAGAGGAGAGUGGAAUUCCGCGUGUAGCAGUGAAAUGCGUAGAUAUGCGGAGGAACACCGAUGGCGAAGGCAAUCCCCUGGGCCUGCACUGACGCUCAUGCACGUAAGCGUGGGGAGCAAACAGG